UUAGAGACUGCAAUUGUUGGCGUCGCAGUAAUAGAAAUGGGAAGCGACGGUAGGCCAUGUCCGUGGCGCCUUUUCAAUAUCAAGAGAGACGGAGUAUCAAACGCGGUCGCUAACACAGCUCAAAAUGCGUUUUAAAAAAAAUAGAAAAACCAUUCACUUCGGGAAAUGAAGCAGACCAGAUCUCUCUCCCUCUCGCUUCACCAUCUAUCCUUCUCAUCACCGAGUAUGUGGAGAAAUCUCUCAUCACCUUCUUGACAAUUGUAGCUUUUCUCUUGUAAACACCUCUCCAUCUUCCUCUCUUUCUAUUUCUAUGAUUCGAGUCAUUCUAGGGUUGGGGUUAGUAAGUUACAUUUACAAUAGAGAGAGCUUUAGAUAAUUAAUUUCUGUUGCUUUGAUUCAAUUGUAGGGUUGAGGCUUCUGGGUAAGUGAGUGUUAAGGCUUUGCAGUUGAUCAAUUUCUGUUUGCUUGAUAAAUUUAUAUGGUUAGGUUAUUUGGAAAUUAGAUAGUUGGGAUUGUGUCUCCAAUUUCCAUUUAUAAUUUCCCUGAAAUAGAUUAGUUGCUAGAGUUAAAAUCUUUUGCUUCUGUGCUUGGAUUAUUUACGUUUCUUGGUUUGGUCGAAAAUUGGAUCGAUCUUAAACCCUUUAUUGCUGGUUUUUAUUCCGAGCCCAUGGGACUGAAAAGCUCUUGAUUCUGUGUGAAAGUUAAUUGAACUAUUUGGCAUUUGGGAAGGUUUGUUUUCUCUUUUUGUGGGUAUCUGAAAGUUUGAUGCUUUGUUGUGUUUGUCUCUUGUUUAGGGAAACUGGGCAAUCUGAUGUUCCAUCAUCAUCUGCUCCUACCAAUGUUGUUGCAUCUUCAUCAUCUUCACAGCAUCACAAUGCGAUUCUUGAACUUGUAUAAGGAGAUGAGAACUGUGAACAAGUUGUUGGGAAUCAUAUGCAGCUUGAAGGUCCAUCAAGGUGCAUUUGGUUCUGUUGGUGAUGAUCAGUCACUUCUUACUUGGUAUCUCUGGGACAACAUCAGUAACAAGCAUGUCUGUAGUUGGU